AUACGGAGGGUCCAAGCGUUAUCCGGAUUCAUUGGGUUUAAAGGGUCCGCAGGCGGGAAAAUAAGUCAGUGGUGAAAGCCUACAGCUCAACUGUAGAACUGCCAUUGAUACUGUUUUUCUUGAGUAUAGAUGAAGUGGGCGGGAUAUAUCAUGUAGCGGUGAAAUGCAUAGAUAUGAUAUAGAACACCGAUUGCGAAGGCAGCUCACUAAACUAUUACUGACGCUCAGGGACGAAAGCGUGGGGAGCGAACAGGAUUAGAAACCCUAGUAGUCC
rnacentral:rRNA from 1 species